UACGUAGGGUCCAAGCGUUGUCCGGAGUUACUGGGCGUAAAGCGCGCGCAGGCGGCGGUGCUGGCCCGGCGUGAAAGCCCCCGGCUCAACCGGGGAGGGUCGUCGGGGACCGCACCGCUUGAGGGCGGUAGGGGCUGGUGGAAUGCCUGGUGUAGUGGUGAAAUGCGUAGAGAUCAGGCGGAACACCCGUGGCGAAGGCGGCCAGCUGGGCCGUCCCUGACGCUGAGGCGCGAAGGCGUGGGGAGCGAACAGG
rnacentral:rRNA from 1 species